GACGAACGCUGGCGGCGCGCCUAACACAUGCAAGUCGAACGAGCGAGAGAGAGCUUGCUUUCUUGAGCGAGUGGCGAACGGGUGAGUAACGCGUGGGGAACCUGCCUCAAAGAGGGGGACAACAGUUGGAAACGACUGCUAAUACCGCAUAAGCCCACGGUGCCGCAUGGCACAGAGGGAAAAGGAGCAAUCCGCUUUGAGAUGGCCUCGCGUCCGAUUAGCUAGUUGGUGAGGUAACGGCCCACCAAGGCGACGAUCGGUAGCCGGACUGAGAGGUUGAACGGCCACAUUGGGACUGAGACACGGCCCAGACUCCUACGGGAGGCAGCAGUGGGGAAUAUUGCACAAUGGGGGAAACCCUGAUGCAGCGACGCCGCGUGGAGGAAGAAGGUCUUCGGAUUGUAAACUCCUGUUGUUGGGGAAGAUAAUGACGGUACCCAACAAGGAAGUGACGGCUAACUACGUG
rnacentral:rRNA from 1 species